GAUGCGGACGCGGAGGCUCGGGACUUGCACGCCCUACUCUACCCUGUUCCUUCCAAUCCGGCCCCGAAGUGCUCGAGGAGGCGCUCGAGGUCGGCAUGCUCACCGGCGACGCUGGGUCCCUCCAUCCUCCUGGUUCCCUCGCCAUCGCCAAGAUGAGCCUCUCCACCCUCUCCCGCGCGAUCGUCCAGGUCCAGGUAAUCUCUCUCUCCCUGACCCUGCCGUAUGCUCCUCCCCGUCAAUUCGGUUAGUCGCCAGGUGCAUCGCCUCACUGAGAUAUCACCAUGAAUAUUCCUUUUCAAGACUGUCCAUAUUUUGUUCUGUUAAAGGGCUUUGUUAGAAAAUCUGAUUUAACUGAGUAUUAUUCUGCUCUAAAUUGCGGCCCCUUCUGGUUGUGAGUGGAUCCAAGAGUUCACAUGAUGCAGUAUCUUUUUGAAAGAUGAUACAUUAUCUUCAUAAAAGAAAGGAAGUUGGAGGAGUUAUUAUUGAAGAGGGAUUCAGUGGUAUGUGCUUCUCAAGAGCUAAACUGGAACAAGAAGUGCAUGACUCUCAUGCCUACACUAACUAAUCAGACUUCCCGAAGGAGAAGAAGGAGGUGCGGAAAGAGGAUGGGAGCAACAAAUCUGAAUCAAAGAGGGUGAGAAUUACUUAUCGAUGACUCGGGCAUCAACUCUUGAUUUUCGGCGGAAGACACAGGGUCAGAACAACUGGUCUGGGCCGUUGCGCCUAGUAAAUGUCGUCAGAAAUAAAUUCCCUACCUACAAGAAUGGUACGAAUGGGAUAGUCAUCAAAUUUGCUGAUGAGCCAGAAACGCCAUUACUUAAGGAGUCUGUUGCCAAAGGGACAGCAGAUCUGCUUGAUCGGCGUCAGCGUCUUUCAGUCCGCGAGCUCGCAAUGAAAUUUGAGAAGGGCCUCAGUACUGCCACAUUAUUAUCUAAUGAGGUAUGGGUCUUCCUGAUUCCUGAACACUCAUUUAGCAAUUGGUCCAGUUAUUACAGACCUUAAGUUAUUGCAUUGGCUUUAACUCUCAAGUUAAAUGUAAACAAGUGGCUUUAUUGGAGCGAGACAUCCUUCUGAAGAAUCUAAAGAGUGUAUUGGAGUCACUGAGAGGACAAGUAGCUGGCAAAUAUAAGGAUGAAUUUGAGGAAUCAGUAUCUAUGGUGGAUAUUUUAGCAGUUCAGCUGUCCAAAAGAGAAAAUGAGUUGCUUCAGCAGAAAACCGAGGUCACGAGAAUAGCGACUUCACUGAAACUGGCUUCUGAAGAUGCUAGGAGAAUUGUUGACGAAGAACGAACUAAUGCACGCAUGGAGAUUGAAAAUGCUAGAGCUGCUGUACAAAGAGUUCAAAAAGUACUUCAAGAGAAAGAGAACAGUUCACAAAGAAUUGGAAAGCAGAAGAGGAAGAUCUAGAAAUUUGCAUACCUAGAGGAACUCGCCUUCUUGAUGCCCCUUGCUUACAGAAGGUCGACAUCGACUGAGUACGAGCGGCCGUAGGUCACAAGGGGGCGUGGAACUGCUGCAGCCCAUCUGUGACAGAGCAGACUCCUGCGAAU